rnacentral:lncRNA from 12 species
GUUCUGGUUGGUUCUGAUUGGUUCUGGUUGGUUCCAGCACAGGUGGGACAAUAAUGAGGCACUUGUCUCCUGUAUUUUGGAUGUGAGGACUGCCUGUAACUCACCUGGGGAGCCUGUCUGGCCCCACAGCUCUUGAGCACUUCACACCUCUUGGGACACAGCUC